UGACAAUGACUACUACAACAGAAACCAGU
rnacentral:piRNA from 1 species